GUGCUUGCUUCAGCAGCAUAUAUACUAAAAUUGGAACGAUACAAAGAAGAUUAACAUGGCCCCUGCGCAAGGAUGACUUGCAAAUUUGUGAAGCGUUCCAUAUUUAA